rnacentral:rRNA from 1 species
AGCGAACGCUGGCGGCAGGCCUAACACAUGCAAGUCGAACGAACUCUUCGGAGUUAGUGGCGGACGGGUGAGUAACACGUGGGAACGUGCCUUUUGGUUCGGAAUAACUCAGGGAAACUUGUGCUAAUACCGAAUGUGCCCUUCGGGGGAAAGAUUUAUCGCCAUUAGAGCGGCCCGCGUCUGAUUAGCUAGUUGAUGAGGUAACGGCUCACCAAGGCGACGAUCAGUAGCUGGUCUGAGAGGAUGACCAGCCACACUGGGACUGAGACACGGCCCAGACUCCUACGGGAGGCAGCAGUGGGGAAUCUUGCGCAAUGGGCGAAAGCCUGACGCAGCCAUGCCGCGUGAAUGAUGAAGGUCUUAGGAUUGUAAAAUUCUUUCACCGGGGACGAUAAUGACGGUACCCGGAGAAGAAGCCCCGGCUAACUUCGUG